rnacentral:rRNA from 1 species
UACGAAGGGUGCAAGCGUUACUCGGAAUUACUGGGCGUAAAGCGUGCGUAGGUGGUUUGUUAAGUCUGAUGUGAAAGCCCUGGGCUCAACCUGGGAAUUGCAUUGGAUACUGGCAGGCUAGAGUGCGGUAGAGGGUAGUGGAAUUCCCGGUGUAGCAGUGAAAUGCGUAGAUAUCGGGAGGAACACCAGUGGCGAAGGCGACUACCUGGACCAGCACUGACACUGAGGCACGAAAGCGUGGGGAGCAAACAGGG